CAGCAGCCGCGGUAAUACGUAGGUGGCAAGCGUUAUCCGGAAUUAUUGGGCGUAAAGAGAGAGCAGGCGGUUAUUCAAGUCUGAAGUGAAAAGCAGUGGCUUAACCAUUGUAGGCUUUGGAAACUAGAUAGCUAGAGUGCAAGAGAGGUUAGCGGAACUCCAUGUGUAGCGGUGAAAUGCGUAGAUAUAUGGAAGAACACCAGUGGCGAAGGCGGCUAACUAGCUUGAAACUGACGCUCAGUCUCGAAAGCGUGGGUAGCAAAUAGGAUUAGAUACCCUAGUAGUCCACGCUGUAAACGAUGAGUACUAGGUGUUGGGGAAACUCAGCGCCGAAGUUAACACAAUAAGUACUCCGCCUGGGUAGUACGUUCGCAAGAAUGAAACUUAAAGGAAUUGACGGGGGCCCGCACAAGCAGUGGAGCAUGUGGUUUAAUUCGACGCAACGCGAAGAACCUUACCAGGACUUGACAUCUGAUUAAAGGCUCUAGAGAUAGAGAGAUAGUUAUAGUCAAGACAGGUGGUGCAUGGUUGUCGUCAGCUCGUGUCGUGAGAUGUUGGGUUAAGUCCCGCAACGAGCGCAACCCUUAUCCUUAGUUGCCAGCAGUAAGAUGGGAACUCUAAGGAGACCGCCGGUAUAAGCCGGAGGAAGAUGGGGAUGACGUCAAAUCAUCAUGCCCUUUAUGUCCUGGGCGACACACGUGCUACAAUGGCCGGUACAAAGAGAAGCAAGACCGCGAGGUGGAGCGAAUCUCAUAAAGCCGGUCUCAGUUCGGAUUGGAGUCUGCAACUCGACU
rnacentral:rRNA from 1 species